GGAACCGUAGCUCAAUGGUAGAGCAGGAACGAAGCCCGUUCGCAUCUUGCUUUCUUCGGAAAUGCUGUAGGAUGGGAUUUCUUAGGUAUGAAAAACCCCAGGGUCUUAAAAACCCCCAGUUGGAGGUUCGACUCCUCCCGGUUCCA
rnacentral:tRNA from 1 species